rnacentral:rRNA from 1 species
CCUACGGGGGGCAGCAGUAGGGAAUUUUCGUCAAUGGGCGCAAGCCUGAACGAGCGAUGCCGCGUGAGUGAAGAAGGCCUUCGGGGCGUAAAGCUCUGUUGCGGGGGAAAAAAGGCAGCAUAAGGAAAUGGGUGCUGACUGAUGGUGCCACGCCAGAAAGUCACGGCUAACUACGUGCCAGCAGCCUCGGUAAUACGUAGGUGGCGAGCGUUAUCCGGAUUGAUUGGGCGGAAGGGGUGCGCAGGCGGUACUGCAAGUCUGGAGUGAAAGGCAUGGGCUCAACCCAUGCAUGGCUUUGGAAACUGGAGGACUUGAGAACAGGAGAGGGCGGUGGAACUCCAUGUGUAGCGGUAAAAUGCGUAGAUAUAUGGAAGAACACCAGUGGCGAAGGCGGCUGCCUGGCCUGUUGCUGACGCUGAGGCACGAAAGCGUGGGGAGCAAAUAGGAUUAGAUACCCGGGUAGUC